UCUCUCUCAUUUCAGGUCCAAUUUUAGUGUUUUGAAGGUCCAUCUUGUGGAUUUAUUUUUGCAAGGAACGCUUAGUGAGCUCGAAAACUGAUUUGGGGUCUCUGUUUGAGGGCUAUCUUGAGUGGUUUUUCAAGGAGAAUGCAUUGGCAUGGUUCGGAUUCAUAUUUUGAAGCUUUGUUGGAGGUCUGAACUUGGUGAUUCAAGACCCUAGAUUAUGGGGUGUUUUAUGAGGAUCAUCGUAGUUUAGUUGGUUUCAGCAAUUGAGCCCUCAUUUCUGUGUGGUAGUGAUUUGAGGCCGUUCGAAAAGGAAAAGCUCCAGUGGAGUAGUUUGGAGCAUGUAUGUUUGGCCAACAGGUCUGAGUACCAAUGGCCAGUAUUGGUAUCAAGCCUGCAACAGUCUUAUCCGGGGAUGGGGUCCGAGCACCAGUUACCAACGCUGAUUCGAGCAUGCUACAGUCUGACUUCAGAGACAAUGGUUGGAUUAGCUACUGGUGGGUUAUAGUAGGUGUCAUCAUGAAUCAAGAAAUUGGGUCGUGACAUAUUUGCAUGUCUUGAACGACAACCAGACAGACUUGUUGAGUAGCACAAUUGCCUAUCCAGCAUAUUGAUUGAAUCCUUUCUUCCGGGGGUUACCAGAGUCCUAAAGGAUUGCUUAUUUUGUUGUUUUUAAAUUUUAGGUAGGUCUGGAUCUUGUCCCAUCCAAGUAUUAUAUUCAUAUUGGCAUGAAGACUAGUAUGUUGGAUUGCAUAGCCACGAUAUUGGCCAUGUUGGCCUUGUUUGUUGGUUGGCUAAUGUUUGAUAGUUGUUUGACAUAUUGUUUACAUAUGUACCUAUUUCUAGACUGUAUAUAGAUAUCAUGGUAGCUCUGAUGGCCCACAUAGGAUUAAGCUUUCCUAGAUACCAAUGUCGCCUUGACGACCUAGAUCGACUUAUGUGCUAGUUGGUUAUUUAUUUAAUUAAACUGU